rnacentral:rRNA from 1 species
GACGAACGCUGGCGGCGUGCUUAACACAUGCAAGUCGAACGGAAAGGCCUCUUUCGGGGGGUACUCGCGUGGCGAACGGGUGAGUAACACGUGAGUAACCUGCCCUUGACUUUGGGUUAACUUCAGGAAACUGGGGCUAAUACCGGAUAGGAGCUCCUGCUGCACGGUGGGGGUUGGAAAGUUUCGGCGGUUGGGGAUGGACUCGCGGCUUAUCAGCUUGUUGGUGGGGUAGUGGCUUACCAAGGCUUUGACGGGUAGCCGGCCUGGGAGGGUGACCGGCGACAUUGAGACUGACGUGCGGCCCAGACACCUACGGGAGGCAGCAGUGGGGAAUAUUGCACAAUGGAUGGAAGCCUGAUGCAGCAACGCCGUGUGCGGGAUGACGGCCUUCUGGUUGUAAACCGCUUUCGCUCGUGACGAAGCUUUGUGUGACGGUAGUGGAUAAGGAAGCACCGGCUAACUACGUG